rnacentral:rRNA from 1 species
GACGAACGCUGGCGGCGUGCUUAACACAUGCAAGUCGAACGGAAAGGCCCUGCUUUUGUGGGGUGCUCGAGUGGCGAACGGGUGAGUAACACGUGAGUAACCUGCCCUUGACUUUGGGAUAACUUCAGGAAACUGGGGCUAAUACCGGAUAGGAGCUCCUGCUGCAUGGUGGGGGUUGGAAAGUUUCGACGGUUGGGGAUGGACUCGCGCUUUAUCAGCUUGUUGGUGGGGCAGUGGCUUACCAAGGGUUUGACCGGUAGCCGGCCUGCGAGAAUGAACGGCGCCUUUGGUACGGAGCGACGGACCAGAGUGCUACGAGUAUCAACUGGGGGGAACACAGCACAAUGGGCUGAGACCUGAUCCAGCAACGGCGCAGGAACGGAGACGGCCUUCGGAUUAUCAGCCGCAUCCGCCUGUGACGCAGCGUCAGACACAGUAAUGGGUACAGACGCAACGGCCAGCAAAGUG